AUUUAGCCCUGGUUGCAGCGGCAUCCUUUUGGGUGUUUUGCCAAAAAUACCCAAAAGAUAAAGCGAAAAACAGGAAAAUGG
rnacentral:sRNA from 1 species